AGCUUCUCCUUGCUGGUUCAAUGAAGUAAGCAACUAUGUUGAAAAAGUCCACAUGGCAAAGAACUGCUGGUGGCCUGUAAGACCUGAGGGCAGCCUCCAGCUGAAAACUGACAGGCAGAAAAAAGUCAGGGUCCUCAGUCCACAGCUACAGUGAAAUGAAUUCUGCAACCACCUGAUUGAGCUUGAAAUCUGAUGCUUUCCCAGCUAAGCCUCCAGAUGAAAAUGCAGCUCGGUUGAAACCCUGCAAAAAUGAGCAGAGAACCCAGCCAAGUUGUGACUGGAGACUCCUGACUUACGGACAAUAAGAGAGGAAAUGUCUUUUGAAAGCUUCACUGACGCCAAGCAGAUUUCUUCCAACAAUUUCUUGCUUCUUGUGAUGUUAGAAGAGCAAUUAUGUUCCUGUGAGCAGCUGAUGGAGGACAUUAUCAACAUGGAAGUACUUCUUUGUGAGAGAACUGUCAGCUUACGUUUAUAUUAAUAGAUAUUACCUUUGGACUAUAUCUGUGGGAAAAGAAAAGCUAUUUCAGCUGGAGUGCAAUGAUGUGAUCUCGACUCACUGUAACGUCUUCCUCUCAGGUCCAAGCGAUUCUCCUGUGUCAGCCUCCCAACUAGCUGGGAUUACAGAUAAUGGAAUACUAUUCAGCAAGAAAAUUAAAUGAGCUACCAAGCCAUGAAAAGACAAGGAGGAGCCCUAAAUGCAUGUUACUAAGUGAAAGAAGUCAAACGGAAAGGCUACAUGUGAUUCAUCCUAUAUGUCAUUCUGGAAAAGAUAAAACUAUGGUGACAAUAAAAGGAUCAUUGGUUGUUGCGGGAAGUCAGGGACCCUGAAUGGAGGAACAGGCUGAAGCCAUGUUAGAAGAACAUAGAUUGUGAAAGAUUUCAUGGACAUUUAUUAGUUCUCCAAAUUAAUACUUUUAUAAUUGCUUAUGCCUGUCUUUACUGCAAUCUCUAAACAUAAAUUGUGAAGAUUUCAUGGACACUUAUCACUUCCCCAAUCAAUACCUUUGUGAUUUCCUAUGCCUGUCUUUACUUUAAUCUCUUAAUCCUGUCAUCUCGUAAGCUGAGGAGGAUGUAUGUCACCUCAGGACCCUGUGAUAAUUGCGUUAACUGCACAAAUUGUAGAGCAUGUGUGUUUGAACAAUAUGAAAUCUGGGCACCUUGAAAAAAGAACAGGAUAACAGCAAUGUUCAGGGAACAGAGAGAAAACCUUGAACUCUGACCGCUGGUGAGCUGGGUGGAACAGAGCCAUAUUUCUCUUCUUUCAAAAGCAAAUGGGAGAAAUAUCGCUGAAUUCUUUUUCUCAGCAAGGAACAUCCCUGAGAAAGAGAAUGCGCCCCUGAGGGUAGGCCUCGAAAAUGGCCCCCUUGGGUGUGGCCGUCUUCUAUGGUCGAAACCGUAGGGAUGAAAUCAGCCCCAGUCUCCCAUAGCGCUCCCAGGCUUAUUAGGAUGAGGAAAUUCCUGCCUAAUAAAUUUUGGUCAGACCGGUUGCUCUCAAACCCUGUCUCCUGAUAAGAUGUUAUCAAUGACAAUGCGUGCCCGAAACUUCAUUAACAAUUUUAAUUUUGCCCCGGUCCUGUGCUCCUGUGAUCUCGCCCUGCCAUUUGCCUUGUGAUAUUCUAUUACCUUGUGAACCACGUGAUCUCUGUGACCCACACCCUAUUCAAACACUCCCUCCCCUUUUGAAAAUCACUAAUAAAAACUUGCUGGUUUCACGGCUCAGGGGGCAUCACGGAACCUACUGACAAGUGAUGUCUCCCCCGGAUGCCCAGCUUUAAAAUUUCUCUCUUUUGUACUCUGUCCCUUUAUUUCUCAAACCAGCCGAUGCUUAGGGAAAAUAGAAAAGAACCUACAUGAAAUAUCGGGGGUGAAUUUUGCCUGAUAUCUGGCUGAGUUUCCCCUGAUAAUUGGUCCCAGAGGUUAGGGAGGAAGGAGGUGGAGAAUAGAGGGUUUUUUUUUGAUCACUGAAACUAUUCUAUAUAACAAUGUUGGAUACAUGUCAUUAUACAUUUGUCAAAACCCAUGGAAUGUAUACUAAGAGUGAACCCUAAUGUAAACUAUGGACUUUAGAUGAUAAUGUUGUUGUCUCAAUGUAGGUUUAUUGAUUAUAACAAAUGUACUACUAUGGUCUAGGAUGUUGAUUGAAGGGUUGUCUGUUUGUGGGAACUGG
rnacentral:lncRNA from 1 species